GAUGAACGCUGGCGGCGUGCCUAACACAUGCAAGUCGAACGAAGCACCUUACCGGAUUCUUCGGAUGAAAGUUUGGUGACUGAGUGGCGGACGGGUGAGUAACGCGUGGGUAACCUGCCCUGUACAGGGGGAUAACAGCUGGAAACGGCUGCUAAUACCGCAUAAGCGCACGAGGAGACAUCUCCUAGUGUGAAAAACUCCGGUGGUACAGGAUGGGCCCGCGUCUGAUUAGCUGGUUGGCAGGGUAACGGCCUACCAAGGCAACGAUCAGUAGCCGGUCUGAGAGGAUGAACGGCCACAUUGGAACUGAGACACGGUCCAAACUCCUACGGGAGGCAGCAGUGGGGAAUAUUGCACAAUGGGGGAAACCCUGAUGCAGCAACGCCGCGUGAGUGAAGAAGUAUUUCGGUAUGUAAAGCUCUAUCAGCAGGGAAGAUAAUGACGG
rnacentral:rRNA from 1 species